rnacentral:lncRNA from 1 species
AAUCCCAUACAUGAACAUACAUUUUCAUUAAAAAAUUCAAACUUUUUAUAUUUCAAGCUCGACCUGUACAUUCAUCAUAAAGUGUAAACAUAAAACCCACACUAGAGCCCUCAUCAAAUGCUCUAGUAUGGUUAACAUCAUAUACAUCAAGCUUGGAUCAACAUAACUCGUUUUUAAACUUUUACAUUAAACAUGUUCACUGGGAUUCAUUAAAAGCAUAAACUAGGGCAAAGCACAAAUCUAUCCAUUUCAUAUUACAUGUCCAC